UGAGGUAGUAAGUUGUAUUGUUGUGGGGUAGGAAUAUUAGGCCCCAGUUAGAAGAUAACUAUACAACUUACUACUUUUC
rnacentral:pre_miRNA from 1 species